rnacentral:rRNA from 1 species
UACGGGGGGGCAAGCGUUGUUCGGAAUUACUGGGCGUAAAGGGCGCGUAGGCGGCCUUCUAAGUCGGACGUGAAAUCCCUCGGCUUAACCGAGGAACUGCGUCCGAUACUGAAAGGCUUGAAUCCGGGGAGAGGGAUGUGGAAUUCCAGGUGUAGCGGUGAAAUGCGUAGAUAUCUGGAGGAACACCGGUGGCGAAGGCGGCAUCCUGGACCGGCAUUGACGCUGAGGCGCGGAA